rnacentral:rRNA from 1 species
UACGUAGGGUGCGAGCGUUAAUCGGAAUUACUGGGCGUAAAGCGUGCGCAGGCGGUUUUGUAAGCCAGAUGUGAAAUCCCCGGGCUCAACCUGGGAACUGCAUUUGUGACUGCAUCGCUGGAGUACGGCAGAGGGGGAUGGAAUUCCGCGUGUAGCGGUGAAAUGCGCAGAUAUCAGGAGGAACACCGGUGGCGAAGGCGCCGCUCUGGGCCGGUACUGACGCUGAGGAGCGAAAGCGUGGGUAGCAAACAGG